UUACGACCAUAUCACGUUGAAACACCAAUUUCCGUACGAUCACCGAAGUUAAACAACGUGUAGCCUGGUCAGUACCUUGGUGGGUGACCGCCUGGUAAUAUCAGGUUGU